UACCCGCAGCUCAAGUGGUGGUCAUUAUUAUUGGGCCUAAAGCGUCCGUAGCUGGCCUGUUAGAUGCCUGGGUAAAUCGAUGCGCUCAACGUAUCGAACUCCGGGUAGACCGGCAGGCUCGAGACCGGGAGAGGUGUAGGCUACUCGCGGGGUAGGGGUAAAAUCCUGUAAUCCUGCGGGGAGGACCAGUGGCGAAGGCGCUACACUAGAACGGCUCCGACAGUGAGGGACGAAGCCCUGGGGCGCAAACCGG
rnacentral:rRNA from 1 species